UUCGGUAUAAGGCAGCUUUCUAUGUUCCUCUCAUCCGCCAUAUUGUCACCUCCUUGCACAGUGGAACAGUUAAUCAGCACUGUUCCUUAAUGUGCAGCUUCAAUACUACUUUAUAAAGUAGCAUUAAAAGUAUGCAUGAGGGUGGGCAUUUCAGAAGGACACCAGCACACUGGAUUUGUGGGGACGUGCACUUCUGCACUCCUCCUACACACUCUUAAGGGGCCGGUUCAGAGCAUCGUCCAAACUUUAUCAUGUAUAAUAAAUCUCUGACUGAUAUAUACAAUUGGAACUCGACUUGAUAUAUCAACUAAUCUGAAAGCUAGUAAUACAUUGUGACAUAUAUAUUGUGACAUGUAGUAUCACAAUGAUAUAUAGUGACAUAUUCUCACCAUUGUAAGGCAGUAAAAUGUUAUUACCUCAUUUCCUUUAAGUGAGGUACAGAGCUUCUGAAAUUAAAGGCUUAAUACUCAAUGGCUGAAGAUUACUUAGUCGGAAGCUCUAUUUAAAACAAACAAUUUGCAAAAGUGACAAAUCAAAUUUGACAGAAUGCAAGUACAUCAUCUGUAGCCAGGCAACAACUGUAAACAGCUCAAGGAGAAAUCUUUAAGAAGCCCGGAAGCUGAUGUAGGUUAUUGCAGUUUUCUCAUGUCCAUACAAGUCUAGAUCUGUGAGAGAACCAUUCUGAAAGGAGAUGCUGAGCUGUCAUCGCAGAGGACAGUGAAACUUCAUUUUCGUAACAUAGCUCUGUGAAUUAUUUUUAAGGUUUUAAAACAUUGAUGAAUUUUACCAAACUUGAAAGGAUGGAGAUCCCUACUUUUUUCAAGAGUAAAAAUCCCUUCCCUCUUGAGUCAGCUCUGAAGAUCAGAGUUGAUAGAAAGAACUUGCCAUCUCGCAAUGCCAUGAUGUCUGUGAUGAAGGCAGAAAUGCCACUAACGUGCAGAUAUAUUGGCCAUUCCCAGCGGCACCAUGCACACUACCAGAAAAAAUUUCUCAAGACUAUAGCGAAGGAUCUCAGUUUUUCUAAAGAGGUUAUACAGCAUAGAAGCCCAUCAUCUCUGACUUAUGAGGAAUAUGUCCAGACGGGCCUAUAUGAUGUUUCCAGUAUCGUUCAUGAACACAAAGUUGAAAGCAUUACUGCUAAGAAACAAAGAAGACCAAGUAGGCUUAAACCUUUGAGGAGAGAAUCAAUUAAAUUAGAUAUUGCACCUGAUAAUCAGACCCCUACAAAUGUUCCUUUGUACUUGGAAGAGUGUAUCAGGAAAGCUGAGUUGGAAAGUUCACACUCAGAGCCAUCUCUACUGGUAUAUAUUCCUCCCCCUCCUCCCCCUCCUUCUUGUGAUCCCCCUUACUCACAGACAUUCCUGACUGAACCUCAGGAGAUGUUAGGAGAUGUCAUGACCAAACAAUGGUCAAAAAGAACAUUCCAGAGCACCACAAAAAUCCAGGAUCCAGAGUGUAAGGACCUACGUUGGGAAGAAUGUUUGUUGAUUAAGUUAAACAAGGGUACAGCUCAAUGGAUUGUGAAUAAUCAAUCCUCCUGGGGAGGGUGGAUUCAGGGGAAGCCACGCCGUUUCAGGAAGCAAAGAUAUGACUGGGAAAGCAUCAGGUAUGUGCUCCCUUGCGAAAGUGAUGUGGCAUUGCUGAAUGAAAUUCAAACAACGAAAACUGCAAGUCAUAUUCGAAUCUAUGAAGAAAAGGAAGCAGAAACUCUUCUCCCUUCUUAUUACAGGAUUCCUUCUUUUCAAUCAAGAGUGCAGCGCAUAGAUGACCCAACUGGUAACAACAGUACAGCGGAUAAAAUAUCAAAGAAGACUCUUAGACUGGUGUCUCCCGUUAAACGUCGGGAGCGGCUGAACUCCCGGGUUGGCAAACACUCUUACACCACCCAGAAUGUCUUUGAACAAGAACUCUAUUUUGGGACAGCCAAAAUUGUCCAUCAAAAGGCCAAGAAGGAUCGUAUCUUUAUGGAUAAUAAUGAUGUAUAUUGUAAGCACCUCCCACAGCACUACCCAAGACCUCCAGAGCUCUGGAGCUUCAAGCCAUCAAAAAAGACAACUAAAAGGGUGCAGAAGGGAGCCAUCCACUGGGCUGAAGUUCCCACUAUCGUUGAGGACUUUGCCCAACUUGGUGAAGGAGAAACCCCUGUACCAUCUAGGAGAAAAUGGGUUUCACACAGCAUGUUUGAAGAAGAUGUAUCCCAGGAUAUACGUAUCCGUAGGACAAUGUUGGCACAGUGGAAGACUGCUUGGAAGUUGGAGUCUCGGUGGCAGGCAGCAACCAUAGAAGGAUUAGUGAGAGACCUCAGAGAUAUCCAUGUUCAGAAUCGAAUCAAAGCUAUAGUUGUGUGUGCAUCUGCUGUGCUUGAGCGGCCCCAGCCCGUAAAAAAAGGAAGUCAGGAGUCAGUAAUAGGAAUAGAAGCUGGUGCAAAGGGCUUAGAAGUCCAGGAUAUACCGAAGAAAAUACAGCCUUUGCUUAGGAAUACUCUGUUUGAUAAGGAUGCUCAUGUGAGGAUGGCUGCUGCAGUGUGCUACUAUGCCAUAGGGAGGCCAUAUCAAGAGGCACAGGCUAUCAUGAGGAAUGCUUUGAUACAUGGUAAUUCUGCAGACAGCUGGGCAGCAGCUCAGGCCUUGGCAUUGGAAGGUAUUACCAGUUUUCAGGUAGUGAAAAGGAUCCUGUCUCAAAUUUUUAAUCAAAAGGAUGACACAGCAGAAGAUCAGGCUUGCCUUCUAUUAGCUCGGCUCAGCAAGAGAACAGGCUUGGUUCACUGUUUACUGGCAUCUGAACUGAACAGCUACCAAUGGAGACAUCGAGUUUUAGCCUGCAAAACAAUUUCUCGCAUUCCCGGGAGUGUCAGCCAGGACCUCAAGAACAAAAUUGUCCAGCUGAUGUGGACAGAUUGGAAGUUUGAGGUACGCCAGGCAGCUGCCAAGGCUUUGGGGCAUUUGCAGCUUGGGAAAGAAGUCCAUGAUCAGCUCAGGAAGAAACUGAAAAGAGGAGAUUGUCGGAUGAGGGUGGAUGCUCUUUCGAUGAUUGGCUGGCUAGAACUCAUGACAGCCAAGCUGCUUCCCGGCUUUCUUCAGUGUUUCUCUGAUGACUUUGUUGCAGUCCGAAAGGAAGCCUGUUGGGUGGCUGGAAUACUUAGGAUUACAGAAGAAAGGGUGCUAAAAUGUCUUUUUAAGAUGAUGCAGACGGAUCCUCUCUGGAAGAUCAAGGCCCUUGCCAUCAGAGCUCUGGGCCUGAUAGGCCAAGCGAGUCCACACCUACAAGAACUUCUUCUCUGGGCCCUUCAUUAUGAAGAAGAUCCUGGGGUACGAAGGGAAGCCUGCCGUAGUAUUAUCACCCUCAAUAUGCAGGAUGAAACAGUUCGGGCUACAUUACUGGAAAGAAUGAUACUGGAACCAAAUGAGAUGGUCAGAGAAGAGAUGAAACAUGCAGUGUCAGUUUUUGAUUUUCAACAGGAAGAGGAACAAGAAAUGAUUCAAGAGAUCAAGGACAAGAUUGCCAGGUUAAGCAAGAAGGACCUGGUGAUCCAGAAACUGCUCAAACUUCAAGAGAUAAUAGAGAGAACAUGGCAUGAAGCCCAUCGCAUCUAUCGAGACAAGGGAGACGUCUUUGCAUACAAAGAAAUAAGAGACAUCUUCCUUGAUGUUGUUCAGACCACUUUCACUGGUCAAACACAGUAUCCCCACAGGAAGUUCUCAGAGGUUUGGAAAGAAAAUUUACUACCUUGCCCGAGAAUCCCAUCAAACCCCUGGACACAAAGAGCCUUCUCAGAGACACUGGAAGUACAGUAUGCUGGGAGGGAAACACGUGCCAAAAAAAAAAGCAGACUCCCACAGAGAAACUGAAGGAAUCCAGGAUCAUCAAGAAGAGUGGAGAAGUGCUGCCCAUUGUCCAUUUUGAGUCAUGACCAGUUGGUUACUUAGCUGACCUUUUUACUGUGGGAAAGGAGAUUACACCAGAAUUUGCUGACCGGUUAGUCAAGUCAAUUUUACAACUUCAUUUUUAUAGGUCUAAGGUAAGUAUUUGCAGUUAUGAAAAUGGAACAAACUGGAUUCCUGUCCUCCGUUAGAGAAGCUUGCAUUUUCUUCCAUUAUAUUUGCAAAGUUAUUAAGCCUAUGGUCCUGAAUCUGGGCUAUUAAGCCUGCAGUUGCAAGGGGGUAAAUCCCAUUCAAAAUAGGGGGACUUCCUUUGAGUAAACAUGUUUAAGAUUACUGCAUAAGCCUCUCCAUAGCCAUAUUGUCUGAAUACAGACAAAGGUGCAUUGUUGUAAAUGCAUUUUCAGUUUCACAUUUUAGAAGUAACAUGGCUCAGAUUGAUCCAUUUAGUGACCCAACAUUUUCUGCAUAUCACCUCUUUAGGUGUUAUAAAAUGUUGAUAUCACUCUAGGAGGCUAACAAACAGUCCAAUCCUCUGGAGACUUAGCCAUGCCUAGCCCAGUAAUUUAGAUUAGUUUAGACAUGCCUAGCAUUGCAUUUGAACAGAUUAAGUUAUUUUUCAAUAAAAAGCUGUCAUCCCAUACAUAAUUCUCAUUUAACCACAUAUCUGGCUUUUUUGUCCAUCUUGCCUAUAUGGCCUCUCUUCUGAUGAUUCUUUUUCUGGCAAAAUAUGAAACUUUCAGGACAUUAUGUUAUAUAAAAUUGAGACUCUACAAUAAUAUAACCAAAACACCACUAGUAUUAAGCAAGAAGCAGGAUUUCUGGGAAGAGUAGUAGCUUGAUGUGAGAUAUUUGAAUGCUGGCUUUUUUACAUUGAUAUUUGGUGGUUUCAUGUAUGUAAAGGGAUACUACCAAAUACCUUACAAAAUGCCUUUGAUGGUUUAUAAAUUGAUUGCCAGCAAUUAUAUUUGCUCUAAGCCUCUGGAAACCCCUGUAGGGCACUGUUCAUAAUAGGUAUCUUAAACAUCACACUGUGAGGUCAUUCACACAAUCAAAAACUGUUCUACACAAGUUUGGGAGCUGUGUGUGCUCCAAAUUUUUGGUUGUGUAGAAGCAAGGAAGGAGGAAAACCUUGGUAGAAGUAAUUGUGUGGAAGCAAGGUAGGAGGAAAAGCUAUCCAGGUUCAGUAAAAAUGACCGAUGCUUUGGGUGUUCUUUGUGGAACAGUAGUAUAAAAGAUCUUGGAAAAAUAUACAUUUAAAUAAGUGUGUGCAGUCAGAACAUGAAAGUGGUUCAUAGCAGGAAUUCUAAAACUUGCGGCCUCCAGAUGUUGUUGGACUCUCAUCAUCCCCAGCCACAAUGGCCUUCAGUUUACAGGAAUAAUCCAGCAGGAAUCUUGAGCCAGCAAGAAAUUAUACUAGGAUGCCAAAGGGCAACAGAAGAAUAAAGCCAGAAGAAUAAAGCAGGCAGAGGCAAAAUGUUUUAAAUUGUUUUAUCAGAGAUAAGAACAAAGAAACAAAAGAAACUAAGAAAAAAAAGUAAAAAAUAGUCAAACCAAGCAAUUACAAUAAUUCUCAUUACAGUCUGUAUACAUAUAGAUGAUUUCUUUCCACCAACAUCUCCCACUGUGAAAGAAAAAAUGGCCACAGAGCUAAAAUGAAAUUGACAGUAUUUACAAUAACAACAUUAGUGUUCCUGCUAUCUACAUAGAACAAUCUGCAUUUAGUUUCUUUACAAGGAGAAACCAAAUCUCAGAUGAGGUACCAAACCCUGUGAUGUAUUAUAUUGAAUGAAUGGCACCCAUGUCUGAGGAAAAAAGUCAUCAUAUUUAUUCUUAAUAUAUGCAGUAAUUUUAGCCAUGAUGCAUAUUCCCAGUUUGAGUUGCCAAGCAUCCAGAAAUUAUAGUUUGUUUCUGCCCAUAUAAUUCCGUUGUUUGAUCUAGCUUCACAAACCAGUUAAUAUAUGUAGAGUUAGUGUACCUAACUGUUCAACGGGGUUCUUUGCAUUAUCAUUCUAUUGUCAGUAGACUUUUUGGGUGAUCUCUGCUUGGCAAUGCACCAGCUUGAUAUGAAGCCAAGAUCUGUAAUCUAAGGAUCUCAGCUUCACAUCAGGCAAACUGAAGAUUGCCAGAAAAGUUCACAUGACAUGCUCAGUGCAAGUUUACAUGCAGUAGAGCUGGAUCUUGGGAUUCCUGCUGAACUGACAGACUAAUCAUGUGAAGAGCCCCAAAGAAUCAGUUGGUACAUUGGCUUAAUCUGGGUACUCCACUUUAGGGAUGUGCAUGAACUGGCCGAUGGCCGGUUUGGUGGCGGGGGGUUACCUUUAAGGAGCAGGGAGGGUGCUCUUAAUCGCCGCCCCCACACACAUUUUCCCUGUGUCCAAAAUUGCUGGCGCGGGGUGGCAGCAUACCCUCUUGCUGCCCCAGUCAGCAUCAGUCUGGAAGUUGCUGGUGUGUGUGCGCAGCAUUCCUGGAAAGAUUGUUUUUACCAAACCAUAAGCUGGAAGUGAUCAAACAUAAACAGGAAUUCCAUGUAGAGACACCACAGUUAUGACAACAAGUGAGAUUAAAGCUGACAAGGAAGAUAAAACCUUCAUUGCUUAAAGUACCAUGAAAGACACCUGUGUUCAAAUGGCUCACCACUAGGUGGUACUGUAGUUUAGAACAAUGUUUCACUGAAGAUGCUUUUAUUUUCCAAACAUCAAAGUGAUUAAAUGAGGGACUGGACACUUUGCCUUAAUUAGGAAGGGGAAAGCAAUAUUUCUUUAUGUGGGUGGAGUUCUGAAAAAUAAUAGUAUUUGUCCUACUUAUUUUUAUACACUAUCAAAGUCAAGAAAAGCACCAAAAAUUAGUCUUACACUUUUACCUCACGUAUAACAAAGCACAACAAAAGGCUAUUUCAAAAUCUGAAUUUUGAGAAUUCAGACUUAUUUGAAAAAUGCUUCUCUCUCUUUCAAACACACACAUUUGCAUGGGCAUGCAUGGACACAGUUGCAAAAUUAUUCAAUUCCCUACUACCAGCCACAGGGAGGGGCCAUGAAUGCUAACCUAAGAUUAACAGGUGAGGAGCAAAAAACCAAACUAAACCAGUUGGAGGUUUGCUGCACAGCUAAAAGAAACUAGAGAGAUAUCUGUUUGACAUUUUCUCUUCCACAGGGCACAAGACACACUCUGGAUCCUCAUUCCCCACUUUUCCCGAGUAUCCCUGCAGUAAUUUUAGACCUACAAAUUCUUGUGCUUCUCCCAGUAGGACAGUAAUCCAAGAUGACCUUCCCAUCAGAGGCCUGUUUCAUACAUACCUGUUUCUGCUGCUAUGUAAAUAAUCUUCCUUGUGGCAUUCAGCUGCUCUUUAACAAAACUCACAGCAGUAGAGAGCUGAUAUGGUGUUUCUUUUUAAAUUUAACGUUAAGGACUCUCUCCACCAUAGCAAGUAUGUCUUGCUACCCAGUACCCACCUAAAUAAUACUACUGAGGCUAAGUGAACAUAAUGGGUUCCUAACACUGAGAACCAGGGGACUUUUAAGUGUUGUUGGGAAGGGAAGUUGGAACAUUUCCCCAAUACUAGAGAAUGUACCCUUUUGCUAAGAGGCUAGUAAAAAGGGACAACAGCAACUGCAAGAUAGUUUGAUAAGAUGGUUAAAACCACAUGUAAAGAAGAUAUAUUUAAUAUAUAUAAAAGUGGUCUCAUAAUUAGGGAUAGUGUUUCAUGUAGAUCACUUUCUUACGCUGCUAACCUCUUGAUGAAAGUAGCUUUAUAAUCCAAAAUGCCUUUAUUUAUAGAUUAAUCCUCCAUUGUUUCUUGCGUUAGGGUGAGGCAAACAUAGAAGCUUUUUGAAUUACCCAAUGGGAAACUGGGAACUAGUUUCCCAUUUAAAAUUUUGUGAAAAUAUAUUGGUGACUAACUGCAAUGUCAAUUGCAUCACCCAAUGCUGCUUGUAGUAUCUGUGUAUAUCUGAUUUGUCUAUAUUUGUUUUAUUUCAGUCAUUCAGUUGGGUGCAACAUUUGGAACCAUUCCUGAUGUCCCCUCCCUAUAUGCCCUUGGCAGCACACACAAGUAUUCAGGCAGCGACCCAGUACUGAGGGACUGAGAGUGUUUAGGCAGGAAGGGCUCCAUUCUUUCCUUCUCGAACUCCUCAAUCAAUGUGAUAAUUUCCUCAUUCAGAAAUUGUGAGAGAUAACAUGUUGUGCUGCAGUAGGAAAGACCUUGUUGCCUGUAGCGUUUCUCACUGCCAGCAGUGAGAGAAGGGCUCUGUUUUGGGGAGAGCAAGGUCCUAUUUGCUCUCUGAAGGAGAAAAUAAAGCUCUCCAGCUUCUAUUAGGAGGCUCUGUUGCAGUAAGCAAACUGUGGAUCAGGCUUUGUUUACAAUGCUUGAUGGGUAUCUCCCUCAACAGAUCUCUUGUAAGCAGGAAGAAGAAAACAAGGUUUUAGGGUCUUUCUUCCUUUCCAGCUCUAGAAGUAUUCCUACCUGUGACAGGACCUACCAUCAUAAGAUUUCAUUACUACUCUGCAAGGAGAGAGAGAGCACCUGCUUAGAAACAUCAAAGCUCCACAUCCAGAAGGUUUGACAGAAGGAUGUAGAUUUGACAGAAGGAUGUAGGAUUGUUGUGCAGAAGAGACCAAGAGUUCCAGUUAUAAUUCAGAUGGAAGGUUUUCCAUCUAUAAACUUCUACAUGAACAAGAUGCUGAAAGAAUAAUGUAGCUGUUUAAAUACAAUAUAGCAUUUCAGCAAAUGUUCUUGGGUUGGUGUUUUUUUUUUUUUGGUGAUGGUUGCACAUCCUUAUAUCAGUAACCAGAGUCAAUUAAAGACCCUAAUUAGAGUUAAGCACAAUGUUGCUCAGAUCUUAUGAGUAUGUAAGCAACAUUGCUGAAGGCCCCACACAUAUACUGGAAGCGAAGAUAUAAAAGCAUGCUGAGCUUUUAGAUACUUCUUAAUGAGUUGCAAAUUAUUUCUAAAAUAAAAUUAUGUUUCACAACUGGUUCAAGUACCACGCCCCCCGCCUCAUAUAGCAGCUUCUGUGGGAAGAUGGCAUUGUGGUGGCUGGCAUUGUUUACUAAAUAAUUUUAGAAGACAUCAAAAAGUAUGCAUUGUCACAGCAUCUAGAAAACAUCUGUAUGCACAUUCAGAUAGCACAAGAGUUUUGAUCAUACAUUAUGUUCAGACAGUUUAUGUACAGUGUAUGUAAGUACAGAUUAUUCAUAUUAUGUUCAACACACAUACUGCGUGUUUGAGGGGGCCUGUACUCAGGUUCACUUUUAAAAUGAACACAUGUACAGUCAUUUGGACAAAUACAGACGCCUACAUGCAUCUAUAUGCAGAUGCCUACAUGUUUCACAAUAGCUGAACAGGGCCAAGACUGCACAGUUUGCAGAUUGUCAAGACUUGUAUAAGUCUAGCUUCUAAAUAUUGCACAAUUUUCAAUAAUCAACAUUACUGGCAAAGUUGUCAGAUAGCUUAUUAAUACACUUAUUUAUAGAGAACUUUUCAUCAAAAGAGUUUAGAAAAUGAUUUAUAUUACAAGAGAAUGAAAACAUAGUUCUCUGUCCCCAAAGAACUCACACAAUCUAAAAAAUAUACAAGGGAGUCCACCAGCAAACAGCCAUUGGGAAAUAUGCUAUGCUGGCAUGAAAAAGGGAUUGUUGCUAUUCUCUUGCGAAGUAGCAAAUAAUUACUACAAUGGCUAUGGAUAUUAUGCCACUUUUCAAUAGAAGUUCUCAAAGCGGUUUACAUAAAAUAAAAUAAGUUGGUUCAUUGUCCCAGGACGGCUCACAGUCUAAAAAGAAUCAUAAAGUAGACACCAGCAACAACCACUGGGGAAAGACUGUGAUGGAAUUUGAUAGGGACAGUUCUCCCCCAGCUGAAUAUAAGAGAAUCACUGUAACAUGUGCCCCUCUGCUCAGUUAACACUGGGGUAAUAUAUUUUAUUCAGUUAGCAGGGGCAAAAUCCUACCUAUUAAAUAAAUCCACUUAAAGAAGAUGCUUCACUUUUAGGUAAAGAACAAUUGGUAUACAGUACAGAGAAAGGAAAUUCAAUGUAUGAAGUCAAGCCCAAAGUUGUUAUUUUAUAUAUUUUAUAAGUUAAAAUUAGUAUGGAAUAAAAUGCCCAGCACAAUCUAUGUUUCUUGCAGCUUGAGCCCUGUAUUGCCACUUUUGCUGUGCUGCCAAAAGCAAAAGCCUCUCCUGGAAGAAGAACGUUUCCAAGCUUGUCCUUAUAGACUUGCAUAAAGAGAAGGCCCUGACAAGCCUCUCCAUUCAGUCCAAUGGCAUCCACUAUACCAGCAAUGUAAGGACACUAGACAGGAUUGUGCAAUCUGCUCUCCAUUGUGCUUGCUGUAAUGUCCACUGCUAGAUAGCAUAGCAAGACUGUUAAGAGCUUGUUCAAAAGCCUGUUUCUCAAGAGCUCCCUGCUACCCUCCCUCCACCCCCUCCCUGCUUCCUCCAUCAAGUAUGAAUGCGCUCACUCAAUCAAUGAAGCAUCUCUUAUCUGAGAUCUUGGCUUACCUCCAGCUGCAGCUCAUGCUCUCUCUCUCUCACUCCAGGAUUUUCCCAUUCUCUAUUUGUAAUCCUUAAUCCCGGUUAUCAUGUACACAGGGUUCCACUGAGAAAAUGAGCUUUAUCUAAAUUUGGCCAGUCUAAUUGAAGUAGAUUAAUAAAAUCAGUAUGGUUAAAUUAAAAAAAAAAAGCCAAGUACUAGAGUUUCUGUGAGAUAUCACUCAAACUGAAUGAGAAUGAAACUCAAAAAAAGCUACUCAGGGAAUACACAAAAGACUAGAAGUUAAGAUGCAGGUCAUACUUAAAUAUAAACAGAAAAAGUGAUCUUCAGUGAAGCUGUCACAUCUCAUUUGCAAGGGAUUCCUCUAGCUUAAAAAAAGAAGAAUUAGAUUUAUUAAGGAUCACUUAAUGCUCACAAUAUCUGACAUCCAAGGAUUGCUCACUUUGUGCUUUUGAAAAGAUGCUAUCUGCUGUGUCCCUGUAGCCAGUGACUAAAGACAAAGCUUCAGACUCAGAGACUCCAAGCUUCUUGCUUUUCAGGGGAGGGAGGGAGAGAAGCAUACGCAAGGGGGAAAUUCAGAUAAUAAAAUGAACAAGGAGAGAGACUGUUAAUGGAACUGCUCUGGAGUGCUGGCUAAACACUCCAAUCGGGCUUCUGGGCUAACGUCAGGAAUCAGCGUGACUAUAUGGAACAAGUCCACCACAAUAUCAAUUUAAGCAAAGUUUUGGUCUGGAAAAUGAUGAAGAGGCGGAAGUGCAAUAUUUGUUUAAAGAUAAAAGGGGUACAGGAAGAGGAAAGAAGGUGAUUAAGUAAAGCAAUACAAUUCUAACUAGCAAUAAUAAUAAUAAUCUCACAUAAAGGCAUUUUGGCUCAAGGUCCAAACUGUCAAUAAAUCAUCUUAAGGGUUACUGGAGAAAGAAUUAAAAUGCUGGUUUAAAAAAGGAAAGAGAAGGGGCAAGGAGUUUUAAAGGGAUAGGAAGUUAGUAUAACUGGUCCUGAUCCAUUGGUGCAUUUGUUGCACUUGCAGGGAAAUACCCAGGCAGACCUCCUUGCAGGGGUAGGACAGAAAGGCAGGAAAAAGAGGCAAGUGGCGCAGCGUGACCACUUGUGGGCUGAAGAAACAGUGUAGUAUAGGUCUGUGUAAGUGUCCUUUUUCCUUGAGCUCCAGGAGUUCUCUGGGUGCCCCGAGUGCUCUAAGAAUGUGUUUGGAUUUGGGAUACAAACAGGCAAAUUCAUGCCCUGGGGGCCACACAGAAGUCAAGCACCGUGGCUGGUGGGGCUGAAACUUGUGUGGAACAAAGGAAUUAAUGUUUACAUGAAUUCAUCAACUUGGGUGUAAUCCUGGGGAACAAAAGGAUUUUUGUUCCCCGGGAUUUUUUAAAUUUUAAUGUGAUCUGAUUUUUGUCUUUUUUAUGAAUUUUAAUUGUGUUAAAAUGUUUUAAUUCUGUACACAGCCUAGAGAUUUUUAUACUUGGUGGUAUAAACAUUUUUUUUUUAAACAGAUGGAAUGGUUUGGAAGGAAGUGUACAUGUAAGUUUGAAAUGGUGAACUUAAAGCUUAUCUGCCAACCAGGAUGUCUCCAGGUGGAGGGAGAUAUGGUUCCUUUGGUGACUUCACCUUGGCCCUUGUCAAAACCGUGUUGAUGGUGGGAUUGGGAUGUGCCGUGCUUAUCGAAGUUCCUAAGGAGACGAUUAGCAAGGCUACUUCUCUUUUGCAAGAAGGGAGUUAACUAUUUCCCUUGUGAAGGUCUCCUUGACCCGUGGUCUACUUUGCUAGCUUUCCUUCUCUUUUGACUCCCUACAGUCGCUUGUUGUUCUCACCUUGGGUAGCAUUGCCCCAUGUUUGCUUGUGCUAAGCAACCAGAUUGCAUAGUUUGCCAAAUGUGAGCAUGUGCCGAGUUCAUGAUUCUGUGAACUCAGGUAUCCAAGAUAUAGGCUGUGAGCCCACAGUUCCAAAUCACAUAGCGGGAUGCUGACUGCAGCCUCAAAAUAAGCUGUUCUGGCAACAAGACUGGAUGAAGUCAUUGGACUAUGUUAUUACCAUGUGCAAAUACAACAGAAAGAGUGUACAGAGAAGCUGCCUGCACUCUGAACAAAGAGUAAUGGUAGCUGAAUGUGCCCAAAUGUUCUUGGCAAUGUACAGGGGCCAAAUAGGGUGGUCCUCAAGGGUGUGUGUAUCUUUAACUUCAUUAUGGCAGAGUUUUGGCAGAUCUUGCUUCUCCAGUCAUUGUUAAACUUCUCCCUCCACUAUGUUUUUCUCUCUUAAAAAUAUAGGAUAUUGCACUAUGAAUAAAUGAAACUGCCUUAUA